GGGGAACCUUUCAAAAACAGUCAGGAAUGAGUGCGAAGAAAAAAAAUAAAAGUGUGAAACAUUGUACAGCAAGUAAUUUAUUAUACUGCUUUAUUUUGUGGCUUGCUUUUAGUUAAGUAAGAGGGGAGAGAGAAAUGCUUCUUUUAAUGAACUGGAAACUAUUAUGGCCCAAGAAAUAAAGUUAUAUUCGAACGGAUAAGUUGAAAGUCAGGGAUACCAGCUGUUUGAUUUAUUAGAAUAAGCCAAUUAGAACUGAAUAAGGGCAUGCAUAAAACUUCUGGCAUUUGAAAGAAAGAUG